rnacentral:rRNA from 1 species
UGGGGAAUAUUGGACAAUGGGCGAAAGCCUGAUCCAGCCAUGCCGCGUGUGUGAAGAAGGUCUUCGGAUUGUAAAGCACUUUAAGUUGGGAGGAAGGGCUGUAAGCGAAUACCUUGCAGUUUUGACGUUACCGACAGAAUAAGCACCGGCUAACUUCGUGCCAGCAGCCGCGGUAAUACGAAGGGUGCAAGCGUUAAUCGGAAUUACUGGGCGUAAAGCGCGCGUAGGUGGUUUGGUAAGUUGGAUGUGAAAGCCCCGGGCUCAACCUGGGAACUGCAUCCAAAACUGCCUGACUAGAGUACGGUAGAGGGUGGUGGAAUUUCCUGUGUAGCGGUGAAAUGCGUAGAUAUAGGAAGGAACACCAGUGGCGAAGGCGACCACCUGGACUGAUACUGACACUGAGGUGCGAAAGCGUGGGGAGCAA